UACGAAGGGGGCUAGCGUUGUUCGGAAUUACUGGGCGUAAAGCGCACGUAGGCGGAUUCUUAAGUCAGGGGUGAAAUCCUGGAGCUCAACUCCAGAACUGCCUUUGAUACUGGGAGUCUCGAGUCCGGGGAGAGGUGAGUGGAACUGCGAGUGUAGGGGUGAAAUUCGUAGAUAUUCGCAAGAACACCAGUGGCGAAGGCGGCUCACUGGCCCGGUACUGACGCUGAGGUGCGAAAGCGUGGGGAGCAAACAGG
rnacentral:rRNA from 1 species